rnacentral:lncRNA from 1 species
CGGGGAUCCUUUGUUCCCUUGACAAGAGGUGUAAUGAGCUCUUACUCCACACUGCAGGGCUGUGAGAAUCUUGGUUUUCUGCCCCUACUUUCCCACCCUCCUGGACCUGCAUCUUCCCUAGGUCCCUUUGCCUGCCCAGGACACAGCCGCAGCCUGGCACCCACAUGGGCACGCAGUCCAUGUGUGUUGAACGAGCUUCCUGCUGUGGAGCAGGAUGAGCGCGGGAUGUGGAGUCCAGACGCGGUCUGCUGCUCACCUGCGACCUCAGUUUCCCUGUGCCAUCAUGGCUGGGGUCGGGGGGGUGGGGAACAGGGGUGGGUGGAUGAAUCAAAUAUUUAUGUGCAGCUGGCAAUACCAUUUUUUGUGAGGAUAGCAGAACAAAUUAACAGGUAAACAUCCUUCUAAAUAUCUACAACAGAAUGUCACCAGAGCACCAGGGUUUUGUUCUAGGACCCGCUGCCCCCUCACAGAAAUCACUGAGAAAACCAUUAUUACCAAGGAAGAAGGCUUUAGUAGGGUGCUGCACUCAGGGAGUUGGAAGCUCAGUCUCAAAUCCAUUGCCCUGACCAACUAAAAUUAAGGGUUUAUACAGUUGCAGGGAAGCAAUGUAACAAUGUAUGGGAAAAGAGGAACUCGGGAGGGGGAAGGAAGCUAUGGGGAUGCAUGAGGGGCUUGGCAUCUCAUUGUCUGGAAUGCGGUGAUAUGGCGAGUUUCAGUUUUUUGAUACUUUUUGAGAGGCUCUGGAGGUCCUUUCCUGAGGAAGGAACUCAGAUAAAACAAAGACCUUGCUCUGCCGAGGCUGGAGUACAGUGGCACUAUCUUGGCUCACUGCAACCCCAUCUCCUGACCUCAAGUGAUCCGCCCACCUCGGCCUCCCUAAGUACUGGGAUUACAAGCAUGGGCCACCAGGCACAGCCUGAUUCUGAUUCUCAAACUAGAAGAUUCUAAGAAUACCUCCUGAAGGGCCCAAGAAAGAUGGAAUUAUGUUAAGUAUACUUUGAAAGAUAAAUGUAUGAAUUUCACUCCGUGCAUUUUGGAUUGUAUUCGAGUAUUGUUUCCCAAAAGUUGUCUUUGGUGCUAAGAACACAUUUUCUCAAAAGACCAAUAUUAUAAGUUGGGUUAUUACACAACCUACAAAUAUUCCAUUUUGUGCAUCAUGUCUACUAAACUUAAGUUAGGCACUGUUCAUUGCUGUCCAACAGCUACUACCUCACCCAUCCCUGCUUAUCUGUAUUUCCUGAAGGGGACGUGUGUGCCUACUUCCUUAGAUGAAACGUGAUCACUCUAACCAGGUCACGGUAAUGUCAUUCCCCUUCCCCAGUGACUGGUCAAGGGUCAUGUGAUGCAACCUGGGUCCGUGAGAUGUGAAAGGGUUUCCCAACUGGAUGGAAUACAAACCUUCCUGAAAAGAAAACCCUUGACCCCCUACCCCCUUUGAGAUGGCUGGCAUAAGAAAUGGGGAACCUGCCAAUUAGCGGGCAUAAUGGUGCGUGUCUGUAAUCCCAGCUAAUCGGGAGGCUGAGGCAAGAGAACUGCUUGAAGCUGGGAGGUGGAGGUUGCAGUGAGCAGAGAUCGCGCCAUUGCACUCCAGCCUGGGUGACAAGAAUGAAACAACGUCUGAAAGAAAAAAUGUGGAGCCUGCCAUAUUGGCAGCAUCUGGUACUCACGAGGUGACAAGCAUGAGGAAAGACUAGAGUGCUGGAGACACUGGAGAGCAAAGAUGGACAUGGCUGAAUUGCUGAAUCAACCACAUGCCUCCAGACUCCCUGUAAAGUAAGCCAUAAAUCAUGGUUUAAACCAGGUCAUUGUUUCAUAGUUGUUGCUUGUAGCUCAGUGUUCUGUAAUGGAAUACUUAGCGUUCUUCCAGGUGAAAGUGUGUCCAGAAUUGGUGGGUUCUUGGUCUCACUGACUUCAGGAAUGAAGCCGCGGACCCUCGCAGUGAGUGUUACAGUUCUUAAAGGUGAUGUGUCCGGAGUUUUUUC